GGUUCUUUGGAAUUUAAAAUAAAGAAUCUUGCCUGCCCAGUGAUGAGAGUUUAACGGCCGCGGUAUUUUAACUGUGCGAAGGUAGCAUAAUCAAUUGUCUAUUAAUUGUAGACUGGAAUGAAGGGUGUGACUAAGAAAUAAUUGUCUUGAAAUUAUGAUAAAAUUUUCAUUUUCUUGAAGAGGAGAUAAUGUGUUAGGGGGACGAGAAGACCCUAUUGAGCUUUAUAUUUAAGGUAUUUUAAUAUAUAGUGAAAAAAAUAAAUAAAGAUAUUUUGCUGGGGCGGUGAAAUUAAAAAUAAAACAAUUUUUAAAGAUAAUAUUAUUAGAUGAAUUUUGAUCCAAUAAAAUUGAGUAUAAGACUAAGUUACUGUAGGGAUAACAGCGUAAUAUUAUUUUGAAGUACUAAUUUAUGAUGAAGAUUGCGACCUCGAUGUUGGUUUAGGAAACUUUUUUGGUGCAGAUACUAAAUUAAGUAGUCUGUUCGACUAUUAAAAUCCUAUA
rnacentral:rRNA from 1 species